rnacentral:rRNA from 1 species
AACGAACGCUGGCGGCAGGCCUAACACAUGCAAGUCGAGCGCCCUUUCGGGGGAGCGGCGGACGGGUGAGUAACGCGUGGGAAUAUGCCCUUCUCUACGGAAUAGCCUCGGGAAACUGAGAGUAAUACCGUAUACGCCCUAUGGGGGAAAGAUUUAUCGGGGAAGGAUUAGCCCGCGUUGGAUUAGGUAGUUGGUGGGGUAAUGGCCUACCAAGCCGACGAUCCAUAGCUGGUUUGAGAGGAUGAUCAGCCACACUGGGACUGAGACGCGGCCCAGACUCCUACCGGAGGCAGCAGUGGGGAAUCUUAGACAAUGGGGGCAACCCUGAUCUAGCCAUGCCGCGGGAGUGAAGAAGGCCUUUGGGUUGUAAAGCCCUUUCAGCUGGGAAGGUAAUGACGGUACCAGCAGGAGAAGGCCCGGCUAACUCCGUG